rnacentral:rRNA from 1 species
UACGGAGGGUGCGAGCGUUGUCCGGAAUCACUGGGCGUAAAGGGUGCGUAGGCGGGUCUUUAAGUCAGGGGUGAAAUCCCGGGGCUCAACCCCGGAACUGCCUUUGAUACUGCGAAUCUCGAGUCCGGAAGAGGUGAGUGGAAUUCCUAGUGUAGAGGUGAAAUUCGUAGAUAUUAGGAAGAACACCAGUGGCGAAGGCGGCUCACUGGUCCGGUACUGACGCUGAGGUGCGAAAGCGUGGGGAGCAAACAGG